rnacentral:sRNA from 1 species
UCCCGUCGGGUUGUGUAUUUAUUGCACUGUGUUAGUGUCAGAACCUGCUUCUCUUGAUAGAGAGGCCCGUCAAAACCCCGCCCAGCUCGGCGGGGUUUUGCUUUUAU